rnacentral:rRNA from 1 species
AUUGAACGCUGGCGGCAGGCCUAACACAUGCAAGUCGAACGAGUGGCGGACGGGUGAGUAAUGUCUGGGACACUGCCCGAUGGAGGGGGAUAACUACUGGAAACGGUAGAUAAUACCGCAUAACAUCGGAUGUGCCCAGAUGGGAUGAGCUAGUAGGUGGGGUAACGGCGCACCUAGGCGACGCUCCCUAGGUGGUCUGAGAGGAUGACCAGUCACACUGGAACUGAGACACGGUCCAGACUCCUACGGGAGGCAGCAGUGGGGAAUAUUGCACAAUGGGCGCAAGCCUGAUGCAGCCAUGCCGCGUGUAUGAAGAAGGCCUUCGGAUUGUAAAGUACUUUCAGUGAGGAGGCGGUACUCGCAGAAGAAGCACCGGCUAACUCCGUGCCAGCAGCCGCGGUAAUUC